rnacentral:rRNA from 1 species
CACGUAGGGUGCGAGCGUUGUCCGGAAUUAUUGGGCGUAAAGAGCUCGUAGGCGGUGUGUCGCGUCGGCCGUGAAAACCUGCAGCUUAACUGUGGGCUUGCGGUCGAUACGGGCAUCACUGGAGUUCGGCAGGGAAGACUGGAAUUCCUGGUGUAGCGGUGAAAUGCGCAGAUAUCAGGAGGAACACCGGUGGCGAAGGCGGGUCUCUGGGCCGAUACUGACGCUGAGGAGCGAAAGCGUGGGGAGCAAACAGG